UGCCCGGGCCCAGGCCGCCCCUUCCACAGGUGCCGCGGCCCGCGCCCGGGACCCGGCGUCGGGCCCCGAGAAGCCCCGACGGGAAGCGGGCGGGCAGGUGGGGGCGGCGCGCGGCCGGGCUCGGGGGCGCCCUCCCGGCCCCGGCCCCCGGCCCCCGGCCCCCGGCCCCGAGCCCCGGCCCCGCGCGCAAAGCUGCAGGCGCGCCGGGUGCAGAGCCCGCCCCUGCCGAAAGGAGCGCCUGGGCUCCGCUCUGCACACGCGAGCGCCGCAGGCACCCUGGGGUGCCCGCUCGUCUGGACGUUGGGCUGGGGCGCCGGGCGCGCAACCAGGCGGAGGCCGCCCGGCUCUCCCCGGAAGGCAGCGGCGAACAGGGAACGGGCGCUGGAGCGAGGGGGGCGUCGCCUGGCUCCCUUCAGGGUCAGCGGCGGUGGUUCCCGCUCAGAGAGGAAUGAGGUGCAGCCGCAGGCACCAGACGGAGAAGAUGGGGGCGGGGAGCCGGCACUGACAGCGUGGAUCCUGCUGGGUCUCGCGGCCAGCCUGGCCUCCCUGCGGCACUGAUCCAGGGCUGGUGGUCUCCACGGUGCCCUCCGGCUCUGAGAGCGGCCUGUGAAGGGCAAGCCAGCUGCUCAGCAGGAGGCGGCACACACACAGCUAGCCGGCUAAGGCAUCUCCCUCCCCAAACGCCCCCUCCUCCAGGGAGCCUUCCUUCUUGGCCGGAGAAGAUUAUUUUCUGCUAUCGGUUACUGCAAGGUGGUGAAUUUCAGUUCCCUAGUGCUUAACCUGAGUGGUUGGUGCAGGGGUGGUCCCCGUGUCAGUCCGUACGCGGUGCCUAGGUGAACAGCUGUGCGUGCUGACCACUUCCCCUGGGGAGAGUCCAGGGAAACAGGGCUUGCCACCCCGGGAAUCCCCUGGUCCAGGACAGGAGUUUUCAAGACUCCCCAGCCGGUGGGAGGACGGAGCCCCCCUCUCUUCCCCGCGCAAGGAAGACGUCAGGCUCUGGAAUCUCCGGCCCCCAGCCGCUGUCUACACACCACGUAAGGCAGGUUCUUUUUCCCCAGAGAGGCCGGAGUGGUGACCGGGGCAUCCCCGGCCCCAGGCCGGCGGGGUGGAAAGCCACAGCCUGACGUGUCAGUCCCACUCCCGCUGGGAGGUAAGACCCACACCCUAAAGCCUCCAGGGCGGUGGUCUCCUGGCUCUGGGUUUUCACAAAUUAAUAACACUUUUUGAAAUAUGAAAACUCAAAUGCUGUGGCCACCAUUUUGGUUUUGGUUUUGUGGUUUUCGUGGGGUUCUUAACCAUUUAUUUAUUUUUUUAAUUUCUUGGCCAUGCCCCAAGGCACGCGGCAUCUUGGUUCCCGGACCAGGGACGGAACUCGCUCCCACUGCGGCGGAAGCCAGGAUCUUAACCGCUAACGGUGGGGGCGUCCACCAUUUUGUUUUUUGAAGUAAGAACAUUAAAAGACAACACUCACCACCUCCUGUGCUCCCACCCCAUAAGUGAACGGUAUUUUGGCACUAAAAUAAUAAAAUUAAGGCAUGCAUACUUGAACAAAGGAGAGCCCUUUUCACCAAAUAUGUGUAGUUUUAUGGAAACUUCACUGCAGUGGCCCGGCUUCCUCAGCGGGCAGUGGAGCAGUGGAGCAGUGGAAGGUCGGGUCACAGAGACCCAAGCAGGAGAAGUGCAUCUGGAAAGUUCUAACGUGAGGGCCACGUGGGCGUCCAUCACCCUCAAGAGCAGGCAAGCUACCGCCCUCACGGGCACACGCACGCGGGCACACGCACACGGGCACACGC